GGUCUUAUUAUAGGAUGAGAUUUGGUAUGCCCCCCCCAACAAAGUAUGCCCUACAAGAAUGGUAGAUUUUUCUUCUUUCAAUGAUUGAUGAUUAAAAUAAUAAUUUUAAACACCUCAAAUCUAAUAAAUUCUAUUGCAAGCUAUAAUUAUUGGCAUAGGCAUAGAAAUCGAGUGACAAAUAAUGGCUGUUCAUUUUUCUUACAUUAAGUCUUACUUGUCUGUCAGUGGCUUGUAAAAUAGGAAUUUGCUUAAUUCUAAAUGAACCGAAAACAAGGUAUUUAUUAUUAUUUGUUUGAGAUCUUUUGGUAUCUAGUAGUUAUAUUAGACUCCCAUAAAAUCUGAAGUUGUGUCAGAUCAAACCCCUAAACAAGGGGCAAACUUCUGCUAGUGUUGUUUUUGCCAUCUACGAGAUUUUAACUUGAGACUUUGCUUUAGGGUAAUGAAUUUGUGUUUUUUAUUGCUUGUCUAGAAUGACAGCUUUAAAAAUAUGGAGCAAAUAAAGGAUUGCAAAUGUAGGGAAGGAAGUGGUGGUGCAUAUGGCAAGCUCCCACUUUUUGUUUUAGUUAAUAUUUAUGAUCCCUUUAGCAUGAAAUAAAAUUUCAUUAUUUAGUCAAUUGUACAUGAAUUUCAAGGUAAAACAAUUGAGGUUGUUGGAUAUAUGAUUUCGACAGGAAACAUUUAAACGAAAAUGAUAAAAAGGAAGGCUGAAUUCGUCAACGAUUUGGUAUUGAAAUGGAAGCUAAAGAGGAGAUUUCAAUAUUUUUACAACACUUAGGCGCACUGUCAUACUUGUUACAGGUAAGCAAAAGGUCCUUUCAGUUUUAGUCACUCUAAUUAGACAAAUAUGUACAGGCCAUCAAUCAUCAAUCCCAGUUAAGCAAAACGCUUAAUUUGCCAGUUGCUUUCAUAAUUAGUCUGUAAAAAUGGUGAAUCUUGCUGGCAAAUCUGAGACGUGUAACACUAAAGGGUUUGUUUCUUUUUCAUAAAUUAGCACACGAAAAUGAAAUAUCAGGGGAUGGUUUUUCAUUAUAAAUUCUGAAAACAGAAUUUGCAACAAUGAUUUAUGUGGUUUUUUAGAACAUGUUAUCUUUUCUUCAGAUCUGCAGUGCCUUUUCACCGAAAAUUCCACCUUUUUUAUUCAUUUUAAAUUAAGCAUAUGCGAUAAUAAUGAUAAAUUUUAUGUGAUGAUUACAAUAUGUUAUCUUUUCUUGUAG
rnacentral:lncRNA from 1 species